GUCGAACGGUAACAGGAUGUGCUUGCACAUCGCUGACGAGUGGCGGACGGGUGAGUAAUGCUUGGGAACUUGCCUUUGCGAGGGGGAUAACAGUUGGAAACGACUGCUAAUACCGCAUAAUGUCUACGGACCAAACGGGGCUUUUAGCUCCGGCGCAAAGAGAGGCCCAAGUGAGAUUAGCUAGUUGGUAAGGUAACGGCUUACCAAGGCGACGAUCUCUAGCUGUUCUGAGAGGAAGAUCAGCCACACUGGGACUGAGACACGGCCCAGACUCCUACGGGAGGCAGCAGUGGGGAAUAUUGCACAAUGGGGGAAACCCUGAUGCAGCCAUGCCGCGUGUGUGAAGAAGGCCUUCGGGUUGUAAAGCACUUUCAGUUGUGAGGAAAAGUUAGUAGUUAAUACCUGCUAGCCGUGACGUUAACAACAGAAGAAGCACCGGCUAACUCCGUGCCAGCAGCCGCGGUAAUACGGAGGGUGCGAGCGUUAAUCGGAAUUACUGGGCGUAAAGCGCACGCAGGCGGUUUGUUAAGCUAGAUGUGAAAGCCCCGGGCUCAACCUGGGAUGGUCAUUUAGAACUGGCAGACUAGAGUCUUGGAGAGGGGAGUGGAAUUCCAGGUGUAGCGGUGAAAUGCGUAGAUAUCUGGAGGAACAUCAGUGGCGAAGGCGACUCCCUGGCCAAAGACUGACGCUCAUGUGCGAAAGUGUGGGUAGCGAACAGGAUUAGAUACCCUGGUAGUCCACACCGUAAACGCUGUCUACUAGCUGUGUGU
rnacentral:rRNA from 1 species